CCUACGGGGGGCAGCAGUGAGGAAUAUUGGUCAAUGGACGAGAGUCUGAACCAGCCAAGUAGCGUGAAGGAUGACUGCCCUAUGGGUUGUAAACUUCUUUUAUAUGGGAAUAAAAUGUUCCACGUGUGGGAUUUUGUAUGUACCAUAUGAAUACGGAUCGGCUAACUCCGUUCCAGCAGCCGCGGUAAUACGGAGGAUCCGAGCGUUAUCCGGAUUUAUUGGGUUUAAAGGGAGCGUAGGUGGAUUGUUAAGUCAGUUGUGAAAGUUUGCGGCUCAACCGUAAAAUUGCAGUUGAAACUGGCAGUCUUGAGUACAGUAGAGGUGGGCGGAAUUCGUGGUGUAGCGGUGAAAUGCUUAGAUAUCACGAAGAACUCCGAUUGCGAAGGCAGUUCACUGGACUGCAACUGACACUGAGGCUCGAAAGUGUGGGUAUCAAACAGGAUUAGAUACCCCUGUAGUC
rnacentral:rRNA from 1 species